GCCCAAACAGGAAUCACCUCCGGACAUAAGCUCCAAAUUCUCAGUAAUUUUUCGGUUUACUAAAAAAAUUUAAAUUUUCCGGCUAGGCUUAAGAAUAAAGUGAAUUAUAGUUUAAGCAUAAAAACAAAACACCAUAAACUUCCUUAUACACGUUGACCAGAUAACUACAACAUCAGAUUAUACACUAAAUUGCUUCCGAGAAGUUGGCAUCUCGAAAAGCGGUUCACUCUGAAACUAAUCUGCUUACACUACUGAGUAACCUGAUGCAAGAAUUAUACCCAAACUGAACGAGUUGACCAGAUAAAUACAACACAAACAUAUAUACACGGGGAAGGUGGCAUCUUGGCUUAAAUGAUUUUUGCUCUUCACUCUGGAAUAAUAAUAAUAAUAAUAAUAAUAAUCUUCGUACACCUCUGAGUAACCUGGUGCAAGGUCCCCUCUCUCUCCUGUAGUCCAUUGAUCAAAAACUGUAACACGAAAAAUGGCUCAUUUAAGUUACUGGAUUCUUGGAGUUGGAUCUCACUGGACUAAUACCUAAAUGUUUGAUGCUAUAAUAAAUGUACACUUGAAUACUGGAUUCUUGGAGUUGGAUCUCACUGAAGUAAUAUGUAAUACAAAAAUGUUUGAUGCUAUAAUAAAUGUACACUUAUACACUUAAA